CUCCUGCCUGCGGACGGGAUCCUGAUCCAGGGCAAUGACCUGAAAAUUGAUGAGAGCUCUCUGACCGGGGAGUCGGACCAGGUCAAGAAAUCCAUGGACAAAGACCCCAUGCUGCUGUCCGGCACCCACGUGAUGGAGGGCUCGGGCAGGAUGGUGGUGACGGCCGUGGGCAUCAACUCUCAGACCGGCAUCAUCUUCACCCUGCUGGGAGCAGGGGAAGGCGACGAGGAGAAGAAAGUGAAGAAAGGUAA